rnacentral:rRNA from 1 species
AUUGAACGCUGGCGGAAUGCUUUACACAUGCAAGUCGAACGGCAGCACGGACUUCGGUCUGGUGGCGAGUGGCGAACGGGUGAGUAAUGUAUCGGAACGUGCCCAGUCGUGGGGGAUAACGUAGUGAAAAUUACGCUAAUACCGCAUACGAUCUAUGGAUGAAAGCGGGGGAUCGCAAGACCUCGCGCGAUUGGAGCGGCAGAUCUCAGAUUAGGUAGUUGGUGGGGUAAAGGCCCACCAGGCCAACGAUCUGUAGCUGGUCUGAGAGGUCGAGCUGCCACACUUGAACUGAGACACGGGCCAGACUCCUACGGGAUGCAGCAGUGUGGAAUUUUUGAUAAUGAGCGAAAUCCUGAUCCAGCCAUGCCGCGUGCAGGAUUAGGGCCCUCGGGUUGUAACUGCUUUUGUACAGAACAAAAAGGUUUCUACUAAUACUAGGAGCUCAUGACGGUACUGUAAGAAUAAGCACCGUCUAACUACGUGCCAGCCGCCGCCGUAA